rnacentral:lncRNA from 1 species
AGUUUGCAGUAGCUCUAGCCCUAAGACAGACACAUGUGCAGGACACAGCCACGGUAAAGGCUGCAGGAAGAACUUUUGCUCUUUAAUGUUAAUUGCUUGGCAUCCAUCCUGGAGAAAAAAAAAGACUACAUCUUCUCUGAAAGAAGGCAGAGGAUGCAAUUGGUACAGGGUCCUGGCUGCUUCAGAGGCGGAGAGGAUAUGUUAUAUAGUCCAUCCAUCAGGGCCUACAAAGAUAUUCAGGGCUGACUGAGUGGAAAUCCAGACCUGUAUGGGAAAAUCUAACCCGGAGGCCAUCAGCUCGCUAUUCACCUACAUGACCUUCACUGAGCAGACAAUUGAGCCACACACAUCAUUCUGGGAUGAGCAGGAGCGGUUACACAUCAUCUCUGACCCAGGGGAACUAAAGGAGAGACACACACGUCCUGUGGUGUCAGGCAAGUCAAAGCAAGCCAUUUAAUACCUCGGACGUCACUGUCCUCAGCUUGUAUAGGGUGGAAUGAGGUGACACUCGUCACCCAGUCAGCGAAGUGGUCAUCUAGUAGCAAGGAUGCGAAGAGGAAAGCAUGUGCCGUGUAGAGAAGGGGGUCACACAAAGUUAUUAGACUGCUGUUCCUCAUUUCUUAUGUUCGUUGGUUGUUGAUAUUAACAAUAGCAUGUUACCUUUCUCGAUGCUGCGUGUACCUGAUAUAAAUAAACGAGAAGCCAGAUGUA